GUUCAUUUUGAUCCUGAAAGCUGUACCAGACCAGGAAUAAUGGAACACAGGACCAUUUCUCAAGUGAAUAUUAAAUUGCCUCUUGAGGCACUUACUGCAGAUCCAGGUCUUCCGCUAGUUGUGGCCAUGAAUGACAAGAGAAUGUUCUAGAGCACACCACCCAGAGAGAAGAGGCCCAGGUGUGCACCAGACUCCCAGGCUCUUGCUUUGUCCCAAUGUGAUGUGUGGUCUUCACCCGGCACCCUGUCACCAAGUGGUCCCAGCCAGGAUACUUGGAGUCGAGAUCAAACCUGAGCUGGAAGCCUAACUAGGCCCUGUAGACUAGAGGACCUAAGCUGAGAUGCUUAAAUUUAGAACACUGGGAUCGAACAAAUGCCACAAAGGAUGACCUUUCAGAAAACCUGAUGAAACCAGUUUUUACUGGAAGGGAAGCAAACCUUAAAUGCUAACGAAGCUGGUGAUUUAUGAU
rnacentral:lncRNA from 1 species